GCUUCACAACGUUUUCAGAUUUGAAGAUGGCGGAAAAUAUGCAGCCAAAGUCCGAUGAGAGCGGAUACAAAUUCAUUGCUUUAACUAAUUAUGGCAAAUGUUAAGAAAAUGUUGCGCAACGUAAUAAAGUAAUGACUUUAAGUUAGUUUAGUUACACGUUAUGCUUUCCUUAUGAACCGCAUAGCAUAUAAUUACUGCAAUUGCUUGCAUUUUAUCAGUAUUUUAGCUAGCUACCUAACGUUAGUUGGCUACUAAUACAUUGAACUUGCCAGUAUUUUAACUAUAUGCUAUCUAACUAACUACCCAACGUCUAUUGACUUGAUUAUUCACAGCCUUCUUAGUUUAGCUAAGUGGUAUAGUUGUUGUGCGUUUGUAACAGGGUUAUAUUGGUGAUUCCCCUUGCCACUUUAUUCUUAAGCCAAUGGGUUUUUGCUUUUGUUUUUGUCUUGCCUUCACCUACUCAACAUGGCAUCUUAUUGGCUGGUUUGCGUAGCUUGUUUACGAGGGAGGAUGUUUCAGUUAGAAUCGUCCCAGUGAACAAGCACAAAACCAGCGAUAAGUUGUUGGUUGCAAAGCACUGCAUGUCAAAAGUGAUUUUUUUAUACUCCCAAGGGAUGAUUUAAAUGUACAAUUUAUAUCAUAAGAUGUAGUGUUUUUUUGUGCAUAUUUGUUGUGCAUGUUGUUGUAGAGAAUUCCAGCUAAUACUAGCUAGCAACUGACUGUGGUGGGGGGGGGUUCGUAUAUUUUGUACAGUCCAGAGUUGGAUGGUGAGCCGUGCAUUGCAUGACGUACAAUUUUGUGCUGUUUCUAUCAGAAUAAAUCUCCAUGACUGGUGCUACAAGUUGGAGUUCGUGUCGAUGAUUGAUUGUACACAACGCAAGAAGAGUACUGUUACAGUGGUGCCGUGACCGUUCUUCUAGAUCGGAUCGUCCUUCGCUGGAUUUUCAUCUCAGAACUUCGCGGUGGUUGCCGUUGGAGUAUCAGAUAAAACGUUGCUGGUGCAGUUUAUGGCGAUAUCGCAUUUCGCCACAGGAGGGCACUACUGCAACGUUUUAUUUUCGAAAUUGAUGAUUUUUCUGUUUGAGACUUUCUAUAUUGAUUGGAACUUUCUCUUCACGGAUAAACGCUAACUUUUGUUUUACUUGUUUAUUUGCAAUUCUAAUGUAUAUCUGAUGUAACUAGGGUGAGUUAAGUGUACUAGAUAUGUUAGAUUUUGACGUGAGGUUUAAAAACAUAUAUAUAUAUAUAUUGCUAUUUGCAUUUUGAUUUUAGUGUGUUGAUUUCCCAUUAUUAAAAUGGAAGGUGUUGGGAGAGGUAGGGGUUUCCUGACAUUUAAUCUGUCACCAUCUGUUGGUAGGGGUUCAGCCAAAAUUCAAGUUGCUUCUAUACCUAAACUGGGGAGUUUUGAUGAUAGUUUACCCAUGGAAACGCCCAAGGAUGUGAAUGAAAGAGGUUUGCCAAAUACAGGGAGUGGGGAGGUCUCCAUGGAUUUCAUAGUACAGCAGAUUGUCCAUUCCAUUGGGGAGAACAUUGCCUCCUGUUUGGAGUCAAAGGCAAUUGUUGGACAUGUUGGGGACAAUGUUAUGGGGAAUGCAUGCAGCUCUAGGGGUAUGGAUGUGUCAGGCCUGAACCUGGUAUUGAAGUCUGAUAUCAGGGAGCCGGUGUACUUUCGGGGGGAUGGCUCUGAAAAGUGCACAAUGCAUGAGUGGGAGGAUAUGGUCACGGUUUACAUGCGUAAGAGGGGCGUAUCUGUGAUGGACCAAGCAGAUGAGGUUAUGGGUAGGCUUAUGGGAAGGGCCCGCGAUGUUGUUAAAGUGGGCAUACGCAGCAAUCCCUCUGUUGAUGUAUCUAAAGGCCCAAGUCCCAUCUUUGACAUACUGAAAUAACAUUUUAGUGACACUGCUUUUUCAAGCAUGCCCCUCGCUGACUUUUAUGCCACAUUACCUCUGACUGAUGAACAACCAUUUGACUAUUGGCUCAGAUUAAACAGGGCUAUGGAGGUUGCUGAAGAUUGUCUAAAGAAACAGAAAAAAAGUGUUGAAGUCCUCUCUCUCGUGAGCUCACAGUCAUGUUCAUCAGACAUUGCCCUAACGCUGAACUGUUGCUUAUCUUUAAGUGCAAGCCAUUACAGCAGUGGGCCGCUGCAGAUGUUCAUGAGAGGUUGGAUGAAUACAGGAGGGAGCGGAGGUACUCUCACUUAUCUAAGGUGAUCCCCAGCCAUCGCAACAAUGAAGCAG
rnacentral:lncRNA from 1 species